rnacentral:rRNA from 1 species
AACGAACGCUGGCGGCAGGCCUAAUACAUGCAAGUCGAGGGGCCCGUAAGGGCACCGGCGCACGGGUGCGUAACGCGUGGGAAUAUACCCUUCACUACGGAACAACGUCGGGAAACUGAGGCUAAUACCGUAUGAUGACUCCGGUCCAAAGAUUUAUCGGUGAAGGAUUAGCCCGCGUCUGAUUAGCUAGUUGGUGAGGUAACGGCUCACCAAGGCGACGAUCAGUAGCUGGUCUGAGAGGAUGAUCAGCCACACUGGGACUGAGACACGGCCCAGACUCCUACGGGAGGCAGCAGUAAGGAAUAUUGGACAAUGGAGGAAACUCUGAUCCAGCCAUGCCGCGUGAGUGGAGAAGGCCUUCGGGUUGUAAAGCUCUUUUAAUCGUGAAGAUAAUGACGGUAGCGAUAGAAAAAGCUCCGGCUAAAUUCGUGCCAGCCGCCGCAGUAA